rnacentral:lncRNA from 1 species
CUAGAAACUCUGAAGCUCAAAGGACAAGCUGCAUAGCCCUACAGCUGUAUUUACUGCACCUGGCACCCUGCCACAGGCACAGGGAGUGUGGUGCAUUCUUCUGAGUGAUGGAGAAACGUCACCCCUGGUGAAGGCAGAAGGCAGGACUGAGCUGAUAUUUGGUAGAGGAAAGAGAGAGAGAGAGAGGUUCCACCUGGUAUUCCUGGGAAGCCAAUGAGAGCUGAGACUUCAUCUGCAUGGAAGUGAUGGUAGGGAAAGGGCCAGGAGCAGCCACUGUGUCUGGCUGUGCUCCGUUAGGGGGAGGGUGGAAAGAAGAGGAUGCUUUAGCCCUUGACUGCUGCUUAUUCCAGCACUGGGGAAGAGAAAAAAAAAAAAAGAAAAAAAAAAAAAAAAGAAGAAGAAGAAGAAAAACUCUAAUGCUGAUUAUAAAAAAAAAUACUAAACCAUGGCAGAAGGCUGCCUGGGAGGUAGGGUUUUUUGUAUUAACUCAGCAGAUUAUUUAUUUAUUUAUUUAUUUAUGCUGCAAAUGAGCUUUCUUUAAAGGUCACUUUUUUCAACAUCUGUGCUGGGAAAAUGCUUUUAAGUUUCAUCUGCUUUGUGUGUUUGUGCGUUUUCUAAGCCUUGAGUUUACUUAUUGGAAAAUGGUCUUGGAUCAUGUCGGAGUUAGCAAUUGGGUUGUCAAGUGCAUGCAAGAAAGGCACUUUAAUUCUUUAUAUGCCUAAUUUAACUUUUUCAUUGGAUUCUCAACACCAUGCCUCCAGACCUCAGCCUGCCACCCAAACCCUGCCUGCUGCACCUUUUCUUCCCAUCCUCUGCCCGCAUCUGGGACCCUGAUACUCUUUGUUUCUUCUUCUGUCUCUGCCUUGGCAUACAGAAAGCGUUACAUGGGCUCUCUCAACUUGUGCUUGAUUGCUUGAUGUGCUGCUAUGUCCGCCUCCUGCUGUUGCCUCUGCUCUGGGGGAGCCUGCAUGCUUGGAGGAGAGGUCUGCAUCCUCAUGUUGUUUUCCUGGCUGCAGUCAGUCCACAGCUUAUGGGUGUUCGUGGGCAAGGAGCUGGUGAGCAGUCUAUGAGGAUGUCACUUUAUGAAACCAACUGCUUCCCCAUCAGCACAGUUCCAUGCAAUUUGUAG